rnacentral:rRNA from 1 species
CGCGUGGUUGCGAUGGGGGACCCUGACGCAGCACGCCGCGUGGGGGAUGAAGGCUCUUGGGACGUAACUCCUUUCGAUCGGAACGAUUAUGACGGUACCGGAAGAAGAAGCCCCGGCUAACUUCGUGCCAGCAGCCGCGGUAAUAAU